GGGGGGGGGGGGGGGGGGGGUGGGGGGGGGCGGGGCGGGCGGAGGGGCGCCGGUGGGGGUACGCGAGUGGCGAGCGGGGGAGUAAGACGUGGGUAAGCUGCCCUUGACUUCGGGGUAACUUCAGGCAACGGGGUCUAAUACCGGCUAGGAAUCCUUGCUGCAUGGUGGGGGUUGUAAAGCUUCGUCGGUUUUGGAUGGACUCGCUGCUUAUCAGCUUGUUGGUGGGGUAGUGGCUUACCAAGGCCUUGACGGGUAGCCGGCCUGCGAGGGCGACCGGCCACAUUGGGACUGAGAACAGGCCCAGACUCCCUCCGGGGGGAGCAGUGGGGAAUAUUGCACAAUGGGCGGAAGCCUGAUGCAGCAACGCCGCGGGCGGGAAGACGGGCUUCGGGUUGUAAACCGCUUUUAGCAGGGGAGAAGCUUGUGGUGACGGUACCUGCAGAAGAAGCACCGGCUAACUACGUG
rnacentral:rRNA from 1 species